rnacentral:rRNA from 1 species
AGAGUUUGAUCAUGGCUCAGAACGAACGCUGGCGGCAGGCUUAACACAUGCAAGUCGAACGCCCCGCAAGGGGAGUGGCAGACGGGUGAGUAACGCGUGGGAAUCUACCGUACCCUACGGAAUAACGCAUGGAAACGUGUGCUAAUACCGUAUACGCCCUUCGGGGGAAAGAUUUAUCGGGGUAUGAUGAGCCCGCGUUGGAUUAGCUAGUUGGUGGGGUAAAGGCCUACCAAGGCGACGAUCCAUAGCUGGUCUGAGAGGAUGAUCAGCCACAUUGGGACUGAGACACGGCCCAAACUCCUACGGGAGGCAGCAGUGGGGAAUAUUGGACAAUGGGCGCAAGCCUGAUCCAGCCAUGCCGCGUGAGUGAUGAAGGUCUUAGGAUUGUAAAGCUCUUUCACCGAUGAAGAUAAUGACGGUAGUCGGAGAAGAAGCCCCGGCUAACUUCGUGCCAGCAGCCGCGGUAAUACGAAGGGGGCUAGCGUUGUUCGGAAUUACUGGGCGUAAAGCGCACGUAGGCGGAUAUUUAAGUCAGGGGUGAAAUCCCGCAGCUCAACUGCGGAACUGCCUUUGAUACUGGGUAUCUCGAGUAUGGAAGAGGUGAGUGGAAUUCCGAGUGUAGAGGUGAAAUUCGUAGAUAUUCGGAGGAACACCAGUGGCGAAGGCGGCUCACUGGUCCAUUACUGACGCUGAGGUGCGAAAGCGUGGGGAGCAAACAGGAUUAGAUACCCUGGUAGU